rnacentral:rRNA from 1 species
AUACGGAGGGUCCGAGCGUUAUCCGGAAUCAUUGGGUUUAAAGGGUCCGUAGGCGGGAAUCUAAGUCAGUGGUGAAAUCUUGCAGCUCAACUGUAAAAUUGCCAUUGAUACUGGAUUUCUUGAAUUAGUGUGAAGUGGUUAGAAUGUGUAGUGUAGCGGUGAAAUGCAUAGAUAUUACACAGAAUACCAAUUGCGAAGGCAGAUCACUAACACUAUAUUGACGCUAAGGGACGAAAGCGUGGGGAGCGAACAGGAUUAGAAACCCUUGUAGUCC